rnacentral:rRNA from 1 species
GAUGAACGCUAGCGGCAGGCUUAACACAUGCAAGUCGAGGGGUAUAGUUCUUCGGAAUUAGAGACCGGCGCACGGGUGCGUAACGCGUAUGCAAUCUACCUUUCACAGAGGGAUAGCCCCAGAGAAAUUUGGAUUAAUACCUCAUAGUAUAGCAGUUUCGCAUGAAACCACUAUUAAAGUCACAACGGUGAAAGAUGAGCAUGCGUCCCAUUAGCUAGUUGGUAAGGUAACGGCUUACCAAGGCAACGAUGGGUAGGGGUCCUGAGAGGGAGAUCCCCCACACUGGUACUGAGACACGGACCAGACUCCUACGGGAGGCAGCAGUGAGGAAUAUUGGACAAUGGGCGCAAGCCUGAUCCAGCCAUGCCGCGUGCAGGAUGACGGUCCUAUGGAUUGUAAACUGCUUUUAUACAGGAAGAAACACACCCUCGUGAGGUACUUGACGGUACUGUAUGAAUAAGGACCGGCUAACUCCGUGCCAGCAGCCG